AUUUGUGUUCUCAAGAGUGACGGAUAUAAUUUACGGUAAAUUUGCUGCGUGCAUUUUGUGGCCUUUCUUGUGAACGGUGUGUACGGAAAACAGCAAGCAAGCAAAUUUAGCAUAGCAGCUGUGUGUAUAGCGGCCUGCACGAAAAGUAGCAGCAGCCGACCGCAAAAGCAAGAAGAAAAAAAAAACAACAAUACACUCUUCUCCGCGAAAAGUAAGAAAAACGUAGUGAUUGUUGCUACCUUUUGUGUUUGCAAAAAUUCCAAAUAUAUAAAUUGCACACUACUGUGUGUAUCAUGUAUCGAUGAUUUAUUUACUCGAUGAAUUCUCCUGAAUAAAAUAUUCCGAUAAUUCCUCAAAACAAAACAAAAUGACUACUAAAAAACUAAAAUAGUGCUUGUACUCACCUUAAAAAUACAACAACACUUUUGCUAAAAAAGAUAAUUAGUAAACAGUUAUUAUUGUUAAGAUGCAAAUAUAUUUGAAAAUGAAAAAUACAAUUUAAAAUCCAACAAAAAGUUGUGCACAACACGCUGCACAAACUUUUUAUAUUGUAUCUAACUAACAACAAAGAAAAAUAGUGCUUAAUAGUGUAGAAAUAUAGUAAAAAAUGCAGAAUUUAAUAAAAAUGCCUCAAAAUACAGUAAACAUGAGAAAAUAGUGGGAAAACAAAAAAGGAGUAGAAAUUGGAAAAAGUAGUAGAAAAUGAGUGAAUUGUAAAAGAGUAGUAGAAAGUUAGAAAAUUGUGCAAAGUUACGAAAACACCAGCAUGCAUUGCAAUUACGCAUGUAAAAUCAGUUUUACAACAUUAGUUGUAAAUUUAGUUUCAAUUGAGUAAAUAAACAAAACCAACAACAAUAAUAGAAAUAAACAAACCAACAAAAAAAUAAAAAAUAAAAUAAACGUAUUAAGUGUAAGUUAAUGAAUAUUAAAAUUUACAAUCAGCAUUCAAUACCAACUGACAACUAUGUAAAUGAUGCGCAUCUGAAAUAACAACAACAGAAAAGCUUAUGCAACUGUGUAGCUGCAGCCAUUAGAAUAACAACAAACCGUGUCAGUCUGUGUGUGUGUGUGCAUUAGCAAAGGCAUCAAGCACAAUAAGCUGACAAUAAAAUCUACACAACAACAACAACAGCAACAACUAAAUACCACCAAGAAACAAAAAUUGCAUUUAUCAUACUAACUUUCGGCUGGUAGCAGCAAGCAGCACAAACGACGUUGGAGCUUUGCAAUUAAUUAGUAACUGCCAAUAGACGAGCAAAAGCCAUAUUUAAUAUAAACAACAACAACAAAUAGAUUUGUAGUAACAACAGCAGCAACAACAAGCAAUAUCAACAAUAUGAUUGCAAUGUGGAGAUACUUUUUAAUCGGUAAGAUCCUUCAGCUAGAUGCGUCCAACGUGCUCUGGUUAAUUAAAAAUACCUAACUAAAAUAAGCACUAAAAGAGUUUUGGUGCAUAAAUUUAUGUAUGUAUGUAUACAAAUCCUAAAAAAUAAUUUCAUAUACCCAAAUUUUGUUUCCUACUUUGCUUUAACAAACAAAAAAAAAAGAUGAAAAUUUUUUGAAUUCAAAUAACUAAAGUUUUUUUUCUACAACUGAAAUGUGAGUUUUACAUGAGACACACCAUUGUAACUGUAAGCAUGGCAGCAAAUAGUUGACCCUAAAUCUAUUAUAGAAACGCAUAAAUUAGAAGUUUUAAUUCUUUUAGUUUUUAUGGUUAUUUUAAUUUUUAACUUUAACAAAAGUGUGCCACAAAAACAAACACUAAUCCUCUCUCACUAUGAUAAUAACAAGAGCAAAAGUGUUGUACAAUAAUAAAAUAAGAGUUUAAGUGUUAGUAGCCCACUAACAGGCUGACUGGCUGACUGCCUGAACCGCCACGCCGUCGACCGCAUCGCAGUGUGAAGCAGCAUUUAACACCAAUGACCACAUUAGAAUGUUAGGUGAAAAUUUUUGUUGUUGUUGCUGGUAUUUAUUCUUUUUUACACGCAGUUGACCGCUUCCACACAUUAACGCCUCGGCCAACAACAAUAGCAACAAUAACAGCAACGGAAAAUUUGGUCAACGAACCCAACAGUAGCAACAACAAUAGCAACAAAUUGCUUGGCAGCAGUCGCACCGCAAUACAUUCGAAACAAGCGAGUAGACCAGACCGAUUGUAGUAAGCUGAGCUUGCCACUAAAUGUGUCCUGUGCUGCUGUGUCUGACACCAUACGUGCACCAUUUGUGUGUUCUUGUUGCGCGCAGUUGUUGUACCCGGUCAAGUAUUCUAAAUGUAUUUAGGUAUAUAUAAGGAAAUGCAAAACUUUUUGGCAACAAAGUUGAUGUUCUGAGUGUUUUUUUUUUUUCAUUUUGUAAGUGACAAUGUCGAGGGCUGGUCGGUUUUAUCGGCGCUCUGACUUUUGGCUACAAUUUGUGCGCUUGUGAGGUCAGCUACGUGUGUGGGUGUUAAGUAAAAGUAAAACUUUUCAUGUAGCUCAAUGCCCUUUUACACGGAAUACCGUGAAAAUGUCCUAAAAGGUUGGUCAGAAAAAAAAAGAAAAAAAACUUUUUAUCAAAAAGGUUACCCCCAAAUGUGGUGUGGUAACAACUACAUAUACUCUUUUUUCGCUGAGGUUUAUUGUGUUGGUUUGCGUAACAUAAUUGGUGCGUUGCCAUCACACAAGUUCCAUAUACACAAUUUCGUAUUAACAAAAUAUAUAUAUAUAUAUAUAUAUAUAUAUAAAUUGAGUUCUUCCGGUUGACUUGCCAAAAAUGUUGCUAGUUCCACCGGCUCCACCGCAAAAUUCAGCAAUGUAUUGUUAUUGUUGUUGUGCUUUUUAUACUUCAAUUCUACAAACUUAUUUAACAUUUCCACUUCUAUUCAUAUAAUUUACUUUACUAUUAUUACUCUUUUCGCAAUAUAAUUUUCAUAUCCUUACUUUUUUGUUGCCAUUAUUGCUCUACAAGUACAGAAGAACUGCAGCUAUAAAAGUUUCGCCUGCAGCAACAUAAUUCAGUAAACAAAAAUUAAUGUGGUGCUGCAUGAAUUCUAGAAAAAAUAAUAAAAAUAAUCAAAAAAAAAAUAACAAAGAAAAUUUUCCUACUUUUUGUGACCCACUUGAGAGGCUCAUAACCAACAGGCGAAUACAUACAUACAUACAAAUGUAGUAACAUAUUUAUACAUCAUUUACUAACUUUCACUUGCCGCCAAAUAUUAUAGUUGCCAGCGCUUGCCUCGUCUCAGCAAAAAAAUAAUAAUAAUAAUAUAAUAUAUGUAAAUAAAAAAUAAAUAAAAUUACUUAAACAAAAGCGUUCAAACACAUGCAUACAUACAUGCACGAGUAUGCCCUUUCCCUCACAGUCGAAAAAGUUUUAAUUCCGCAAAACUUGCUGUCGGAAAUUAAAUUCACAAUUGUAUUCAUCAUGGUUAAUUACUUCUGAGCCAAUGAGAGGUGGUGCGGUGGUUUGUUAGCAAGUCUACUCCCAUUAAAAUAUGUGCGGCAAGGAGGGAAAUCCCGAGAAAGAAUUAAAACACUUGAACUUUGGUUAAUUAGCAUAAAGUAUUCUUUGUCCAUUGACGUGCCUAUGUAGUCCUUCGUAUGCAUAAAAACAAGAACUUUGUUCUUAGUUUACCAAUUUUAUAUUAUUUAAAGUUCAAAAUAAAAUAAAUAAAACUGA